GGAUUCUGCGCAAUGGACUGCUGUGAACCAUGUCAGGGUCGGAAGGCAGCAGCAUUAAGCAGAUUUGUUCAUGUGCCGCAGCU
rnacentral:SRP_RNA from 1 species